UACGAAGGGGGCUAGCGUUGCUCGGAAUCACUGGGCGUAAAGCGCACGUAGGCGGCUUCUUAAGUCGGGGGUGAAAUCCUGGAGCUCAACUCCAGAACUGCCUUCGAUACUGAGGAGCUUGAGUCCGGGAGAGGUGAGUGGAACUGCGAGUGUAGAGGUGAAAUUCGUAGAUAUCGGAAGGAACACCAAUGGCGAAGGCAGCCGCCUGGGCCUGAUCUGACACUGAGACACGAAAGCGUGGGGAUCAAACAGG
rnacentral:rRNA from 1 species